rnacentral:rRNA from 1 species
GGUGAAAAGAGCCUGAAACCGUCACGGGGGAAGCGGAUCGCGUUGGAUCGGUGGGCGCUCGUGUGUUCAGCCUUCGGGUGCAUUGGCACGAGUGCUUAUCCGCUGUGAGUUUUCGGGGAUCGAUUUUGGAUCCCUGGAGGCUGAGGGCUCCCUUUUUUAGGUGAGGACAGCGGAGUAACGACGCGAUACGACCCGUCUUGAAACACGGACCAAGGAGUCUAGCGCGGGUGCGAGUCGGAGGGUGCAAGCCCGUGGGCGAAGUGAAAGCGAGUGUAAAAACGAGCCAGUUUGGGGCGGCAUAAGAUCGUUGAUCUUAAGACCGACCCAGAGCAGUUGCGCUGGGACCCGAAAGAUGGUGAACUAUGCCGGAGUAGGGCAAAGCCAGAGGAAACUCUGGUGGAGGCUCGUAGCGGUGCUGACGUGCAAAUCGCUCGUCGAACUUGGGUAUAGGGGCGAAAGACUAAUCGAACCAUCUAGUAGCUGGUUCCCUCCGAAGUUUCUCUCAGGAUAGCUGGCCGACAAGUUGUUUUGUGCGGUAAAGCGAAUGAUUAGCGCAAUCGGGGACGUUUAGUCUUCGGGCGAUUCUCAAACUUUCAAUGCGCAAGGGUGCCGCUGCUUAAUUGAGCGGUACCGGCAAAAACGUCGGCCAUGUGGGCCACUU